AUUGAACGCUGGCGGCAGGCCUAACACAUGCAAGUCGAACGGUAACAGGAAGCAGCUUGCUGCUUUGCUGACGAGUGGCGGACGGGUGAGUAAUGUCUGGGAAACUGCCUGAUGGAGGGGGAUAACUACUGGAAACGGUAGCUAAUACCGCAUAACUUCGCAAGACCAAAGAGGGGGACCUUAGGGCCUCUUGCCAUCGGAUGUGCCCAGAUGGGAUUAGCUAGUAGGUGGGGUAACGGCUCACCUAGGCGACGAUCCCUAGCUGGUCUGAGAGGAUGACCAGCCACACUGGAACUGAGACACGGUCCAGACUCCUACGGGAGGCAGCAGUGGGGAAUAUUGCACAAUGGGCGCAAGCCUGAUGCAGCCAUGCCGCGUGUAUGAAGAAGGCCUUCGGGUUGUAAAGUACUUUCAGCGGGGAGGAAGGGAGUAAAGUUAAUACCUUUGCUCAUUGACGUUACCCGCAGAAGAAGCACCGGCUAACUCCGUG
rnacentral:rRNA from 1 species